rnacentral:rRNA from 1 species
AUGAACGCUAGCUACAGGCUUAACACAUGCAAGUCGAGGGGCAGCAUGGUCUUAGCUUGCUAAGGCCGAUGGCGACCGGCGCACGGGUGAGUAACACGUAUCCAACCUGCCGUCUACUCUUGGACAGCCUUCUGAAAGGAAGAUUAAUACAAGAUGGCAUCAUGAGUCCGCAUGUUCACAUGAUUAAAGGUAUUCCGGUAGACGAUGGGGAUGCGUUCCAUUAGAUAGUAGGCGGGGUAACGGCCCACCUAGUCUUCGAUGGAUAGGGGUUCUGAGAGGAAGGUCCCCCACAUUGGAACUGAGACACGGUCCAAACUCCUACGGGAGGCAGCAGUGAGGAAUAUUGGUCAAUGGGCGAGAGCCUGAACCAGCCAAGUAGCGUGAAGGAUGACUGCCCUAUGGGUUGUAAACUUCUUUUAUAAAGGAAUAAAGUCGGGUAUGGAUACCCGUUUGCAUGUACUUUAUGAAUAAGGAUCGGCUAACUCCGUGCCAGCAGCCGCGGUAAUACGGAGGAUCCGAGCGUUAUCCGGAUUUAUUGGGUUUAAAGGGAGCGUAGAUGGAUGUUUAAGUCAGUUGUGAAAGUUUGCGGCUCAACCGUAAAAUUGCAGUUGAUACUGGAUAUCUUGAGUGCAGUUGAGGCAGGCGGAAUUCGUGGUGUAGCGGUGAAAUGCUUAGAUAUCACGAAGAACUCCGAUUGCGAAGGCAGCCUGCUAAGCUGCAACUGACAUUGAGGCUCGAAAGUGUGGGUAUCAAACAGGAUUAGAUACCCUGGUAGUCCACACGGUAAACGAUGAAUACUCGCUGUUUGCGAUAUACUGCAAGCGGCCAAGCGAAAGCGUUAAGUAUUCCACCUGGGGAGUACGCCUGCAACGGUGAAACUCAAAGGAAUUGACGGGGGCCCGCACAAGCGGAGGAACAUGUGGUUUAAUUCGAUGAUACGCGAGGAACCUUACCCGGGCUUAAAUUGCAGAUGAAUUACGGUGAAAGCCGUAAGCCGCAAGGCAUCUGUGAAGGUGCUGCAUGGUUGUCGUCAGCUCGUGCCGUGAGGUGUCGGCUUAAGUGCCAUAACGAGCGCAACCCUUGUUGUCAGUUACUAACAGGUUCCGCUGAGGACUCUGACAAGACUGCCAUCGUAAGAUGUGAGGAAGGUGGGGAUGACGUCAAAUCAGCACGGCCCUUACGUCCGGGGCUACACACGUGUUACAAUGGGGGGUACAGAGGGCCGCUACCACGCGAGUGGAUGCCAAUCCCCAAAACCUCUCUCAGUUCGGACUGGAGUCUGCAACCCGACUCCACGAAGCUGGAUUCGCUAGUAAUCGCGCAUCAGCCACGGCGCGGUGAAUACGUUCCCGGGCCUUGUACACACCGCCCGUCAAGCCAUGGGAGCCGGGGGUACCUGAAGUGCGUAACCGCGAGGAGCGCCCUAGGGUAAAACUGGUGACUGGGGCU